GGUAAUCUCAGAUGGUAGGGCGCUCGCUUAGCAUGCGAGAGGUACGGGGAUCGAUACCCCGCAUCUCCG